rnacentral:rRNA from 1 species
UAGGGAAUCUUCCACAAUGGCGCAAGCCUGAUGGAGCAACGCCGCGUGAGUGAAGAAGGUCUUCGGAUCGUAAAACUCUGUUGUUAGAGAAGAACAUGCAGGAGAGUAACUGUUCUUGUAUUGACGGUAUCUAACCAGAAAGCCACGGCUAACUACGCGCCAG